rnacentral:rRNA from 1 species
UAGUGGCAGACGGGUGAGUAAUGUAUAGGAAUCUACCUAGUAGUACGGAAUAAUUGUUGGAAACGACAACUAAUACCGUAUACGCCCUACGGGGGAAAAAUUUAUUGCUAUUAGAUGAGCCUAUAUUAGAUUAGCUAGUUGGUGGAGUAAUAGCCUACCAAGGCAAUGAUCUAUAGCUGAUCUGAGAGGAUGAUCAGCCACACUGGAACUGAGAUACGGUCCAGACUCCUACGGGAGGCAGCAGUGGGGAAUAUUGGACAAUGGGCGAAAGCCUGAUCCAGCCAUGCCGCAUGAGUGAAGAAGGCCUUUGGGUUGUAAAGCUCUUUUAGUGAGGAAGAUAAUGACGGUACUCACAGAAGAAGUCCUGGCUAACUCCGUGCCAGCAGCCGCGGUAAUACGGAGAGGGCUAGCGUUAUUCGGAACUAUUGGGCGUAAAGGGCGCGUAGGCUGGUUAAUAAGUUAAAAGUGAAAUCCCGAGGCUUAACCUUGGAAUUGCUUUUAAAACUAUUAAUCUAGAGAUUGAAAGAGGAUAGAGGAAUUCCUGAUGUAGAGGUAAAAUUCGUAAAUAUUAGGAGGAACACCAGUGGCGAAGGCGUCUAUCUGGUUCAAAUCUGACGCUGAAGCGCGAAGGCGUGGGGAGCAAACAGGAUUAGAUACCCUGGUAGUCCACGCUGUAAACGAUGAAUGUUAAAUAUGGGAAGUUUACUUUCUGUAUUACAGCUAACGCGUUAAACAUUCCGCCUGGGGACUACGGUCGCAAGAUUAAAACUCAAAGGAAUUGACGGGGACCCGCACAAGCGGUGGAGCAUGUGGUUUAAUUCGAUGCAACGCGAAAAACCUUACCACU